rnacentral:rRNA from 1 species
CACGUGGGAAUCUGCCCAAUAGUGGGGGAUAACGUCCCGAAAGGGACGCUAAUACCGCAUACGCCCCAUGGGGGAAAGCAGGGGAUCUUCGGACCUUGUGCUAUUGGAUGAGCCCGCGUCGGAUUAGCUAGUUGGUGGGGUAAAGGCCUACCAAGGCGACGAUCCGUAGCUGGUCUGAGAGGAUGAUCAGCCACACCGGAACUGAGACACGGUCCGGACUCCUACGGGAGGCAGCAGUGGGGAAUAUUGGACAAUGGGGGCAACCCUGAUCCAGCCAUGCCGCGUGUGUGAAGAAGGCCU